rfam:Pteropus alecto contig43708, whole genome shotgun sequence.
CUGUGAAAUGAUUGCAAUCAUCUUUGAGGAAUGACCUGAAAUGAAGAGAAUACUCAAUGCUGAUCACUU